UAGGGAAUCUUCCGCAAUGGGCGAAAGCCUGACGGAGCAACGCCGCGUGAGUGAAGAAGGAUUUCGGUUCGUAAAGCUCUGUUGUUAGGGAAGAAUGAUUGUGUAGUAACUAUACACAGUAGAGACGGUACCUAACCAGAAAGCCACGGCUAACUACGUGCCAGCAGCCGCGGUAAUACGUAGGUGGCAAGCGUUGUCCGGAAUUAUUGGGCGUAAAGCGCGCGCAGGUGGUUUAAUAAGUCUGAUGUGAAAGCCCACGGCUCAACCGUGGAGGGUCAUUGGAAACUGUUAAACUUGAGUGCAGGAGAGAAAAGUGGAAUUCCUAGUGUAGCGGUGAAAUGCGUAGAGAUUAGGAGGAACACCAGUGGCGAAGGCGGCUUUUUGGCCUGUAACUGACACUGAGGCGCGAAAGCGUGGGGAGCAAACAGGAUUAGAUACCCUGGUAGUCCACGCCGUAACGAUGAGUGCUAAGUGUUGGUCUCAUAAGAGAUCAGUGCUGCAGCUAACGCAUUAAGCACUCCGCCUGGGGAGUACGACCGCAAGGUU
rnacentral:rRNA from 1 species